CCUAACAACACACAACAUUCCAGGAAUGUACUACCAAAGUUCUAUCAAUAUUUGAAUGUCCUGGACAUUUAGGGAACAUUCGGUGAACAUCUGAUUAAAUUAUUCGUGGAAUGUUACCAUAAGACAUUCUGUGAACAUACUACCAAUGUUCCUAUAUGUUCAUUUUCAAAUUCACGGCGCAUGUAUUUGUGCAUGGUGCUUAGAGAGGGCAUCACGUGACUAAAAACGACCAAUGACCUCACUUCAGACUUCGGUGCUUCGGCCAUCUUGACAUGCAUCUUGGCCUUGGCCACAUGGCCACCUUGCCGUGCGUGAUCGUUGUUUGUUUUUAUUUGUGCUCUUUAAGAAUAUUUUUUAAUUCGGAUACUUUUAUAAUAACUUUAAUAGUAUUAUUAAUAUAGUGCAUAAAAUCAGUUGGAGUAGCAGAAGCAAUGUAGAUAAAAAAUCUGCAGGAAUAAUGUUUCAAAGGUUAGUAUAUGCAAAUAUGUAAACAAAGGCAUGCCCCUAUUUCAGAAAAUAUCCAUUUAUUAUUUUAAUAAUUGCGAAUAAGCCACAAACUUGCUUAUUCCUAACAAAAAUAGUAAAUAGAGAUAAUAACAAACGGAUUAUUUGUAAAAUUAAAAUUUUUUUUGCGUUUUUGCUAAUGUAUGCGUUUAUAAACAGGAUGGUAGACCACACACUAUAAUAGUACCAACUAAUGAAUACACAGUAUGAAUAGUACAGUCGGUUCGCUAAACUUAGUCUCAGACACAACUGGCUAGUGAUUUUAGUAAAUAAUUUUGACAAUUUGGUAAAAUUGGCAAAAAAAUAACUAAAUAGUUAGUAAUUUUGGCAAAAAUGGCCAAAAACAAAAAAAUUACCUACUAAAAUCACUAGCCAGUUGUGGCUAGGGAAACGACUAUACUAAUAAACAAUUUCUAAGCUGCUUUUUAUAAUAUUUUCUUUCCAGAAGAUCCUGCGAAGAAGGCAUGAAGUAUUGAUCAGAUUUGUUAAUAGAGCAGUAUGUUCAAAACAUUUUUUAGAAAAAGAUAUUGACAGAACUUCACUUUCAACCGUUUGAGAGACUGUGCUGUUCCAAUAGCUUAUAUCACACAGAAUCAGCUGAGAGAAGUGGUCUACAAAAAACCAGGAAGGAAAUGGAAUAUGUGGCUAUGAAAGGCAAAAGAAAGGUUUACAAAGCAAAUGUGACACAUUUUUUUAUAGGAAUAUCAGUAAAUUACAUUAAAAAAAUGUAUGAAAAGAUUUUUUGCAAUAAAAAUGUUUAUAUUUAUCAAGGAUGCAUUAUUUGGUAUGGCCACAUAUCGUCAGUGAUGUGACAAUACCUCCUAUCUGUUUUUUCAUGAGAUUUGUAAGAUAGACUAAAAACUUGUUUGGGCCACCUCCUGUUUUCAUAUAUUUUUUGACUU